CAAUACAACUUUCAGCAACGGAUCUCUUGGCUCUCGCAUCGAUGAAGAACGCAGCGAAA
rnacentral:rRNA from 1 species